rnacentral:lncRNA from 1 species
GAUAAGUCAGCUGAAAGAAGAGAAGUCAGCUGACACGGAAAAGGAAGAGACGUCAGCUGACACGGAGAAGGAAGAGAAGUCAGCUGACAGGGAGAAGGAAGAGAAGUCAGCUGAUAUGGAGAAGGAGGUGAAGUCAGCUGGCACGGAGAAGGAGGUGAAGUCAGUUGACACAGAGAAGGCAGAGAAGUCAGCUGACACAGAGAAGGCAGAGAAGUCAGCUGACAUGGAGAAGGAAGAGAAGUCAGCUGACAAAAAGAAGGCAGAGAAGUCAGCUGACAUGGAGAAGGAAG